rnacentral:rRNA from 1 species
UAGGGAAUAUUGCGCAAUGGGGGAAACCCUGACGCAGCGAUACCGUGUGAGGGAGGAAGGUCUUCGGAUUGUAAACCUCUGUCAAAAGGGACAAAUGGCAUUAUGAAGAAUAGUGAUUGAUGGUACCUUUAAAGGAAGCACCGGCUAACUCCGUGCCAGCAGCCGCGGUAAUACGGAGGGUGCAAGCGUUGUUCGGAAUCAUUGGGCGUAAAGCGCGCGCAGGCGGGAUUGUGUGUAAGAUGUGAAAUCUCGGGGCUCAACCCCGAAAGUGCGUCUUAAACUGCGAUUCUAGAAUGUCGGAGGGGGAUGGGGAAUUUCUCAUGUAGGGGUAAAAUCCGUAGAGAUGAGAAGGAACACCUGAGGCGAAGGCGCCAUCCUGGACGAAUAUUGACGCUGAGGCGCGAAAGCGUGGGGAGCAAACAGG